UAGUUACAUUAAUGUGCUUAUUAUAAGUAUAACUAAAAAUUUGUAAGAAUUUUAUUCAUUAUCUGAGUGUUUAAUUUAUGUGACGGUACUUUCAAUUAUUUCAGAGGAGCGGGAGUAUAGUACAUUAUUAAGACUUAUAAGAAGUUCAAGUGAGAGGAUACGCUUAGCAUGUACGUUUAAAUUUGUUUUGUUUAAUGUAUUUCGCGCUGUAGAAAAGUCACAUAGAUCAUUUUAUUUUAACAAAUGUUCAUCAUGUGUACAAAUCUCGAAUUAUUUUAUUCUGUUUCUUAACAUUUAAAAAAUAAUUGGUUGAUUAAUUUAUAUUAGAUAUUGGUUUUUUUUAUAAUUUGUGGUAGUUUUGAUUUCAUUUUGUAAUUAAAUAUCUGUGGUUACUGAAAGAAAUUUAGCAGUGUUAAAUAUCGUAAAAGAAAAACAGAAGAAUCUAUGAAAAUAGAUAAUUUGCUUAAACAAAUUCCAAAAAUAUCUAGUUUUAUAACAAGGUCAACUAAAUCUUUUAAUAAUUUAACUAAUAAUCAUUAUGUUCAACAGUCAUAAGUAUUUUGUUAUGAUUUAAAUCAUUUUUUUUUUGCUUCGAUGCAAAGCUGAAAAGAUAAUAAUUUUACUAGAAUGUGUUUUUUUGUGCCUGUUAGCAACUUUUUUCAGAUUUGACUAGACCGAUUUUGAUGAAUGAUAUGUCAAAAGAUUACAAAUCAUAUCUAGUUAAAAAGGGCAUAUGAAAAUAUUUACGAAAAAUUUAAUUUUUUUGAUGAUUUAUCAAACAUAGAUACAAACGAAUUGAAAAAUCUUGCCAAUAAGCUAGUCAUAAAUACGGAUAAUGUGCGCUCUUCACAAAAAAUAUGCAAUGUAUUGCAUUCACGAAGUCUUUGAGAUGUUUAUCCGAAUGUGGAUAUUGCUCUCCGUAUCUUUUUGAGUAUUCUAGCAAUAAAUUGUUCAGUGGAAGGAUCUUUUUCCACUCCAAAAAGGGUAAAACUUAGUUGUGGAAAACUCUCCCAAUUGAUCUGCAAUUAUAAUUCAUCAAUUUUUUAUACAUGUAUUCAAAUUUCAAAAAUGAUGUAUUAUCAUGGUCACAUGGGUCAAUAAACAAAUAUUCUGUUAUCAAUCAAUUGAGUAAGCAAUUAACAUAUCAUACUAAACCAUUGAUAUUCUUACCAAACGCAAGAUAUUGAUAUUGAUGUUCGUAAUUGAUUUUAUCGUGACUUUUUUUGCUGCGUAGUUAAUGGCAACAAUUUAAAACGAUAUUGAACUGAUAAAUAUAAAAUUCAACGAUUGUUACAUUCCCGAUGCUAUGUUACAUGAUGUAAUAUUAAAAUAGUAAGUAUUAUUAUAGUUUAUACCUCUGUGAAUAGGGGAUAAGAAUACUUCUCUGGAAGCUGUAAGACUAAGGUUGCGUCAGGUCGACAGCUGGCGUAAAAAUUUGUCUAAAAAUGUGAGGGGUCAUUAACAAAAAUUAGGUUAUCCCAUUUUGGAUUUAUGUAGGGACUACAGGCAAAAGGAAAUAAAGUAGUUGAAAACAGAGAAGACUUAAAGAAUAAAGUGUUUGAUACCAGCCGGAUAACUUGUGCGGUAGCUGUUUCAUCAGUCGUGUGUACAGGUACCCAAAAAGGACAUCACCAUUUAACUCUAGGCUGUACUUGUGUAUAAAGAAGAAUAAUAGAUACAAACUAAGAAUAGAUACUUGGAAUGUUGGAACAUUAACUAGUAGAAGUAUCGAAGAGGAGAAAAAUGAACAUUUGCUGUGUGCUGGAAACUUUGUGGAAGGGAAAGAAAGCAAGAGAAAUAGGUGUAUAUAAAAUAAUAUACUCAGGUAUAUUUAUUUUUAUAUGGUCUGUUAAAAUUUCAAAAUGGCCUUCUUGAAAUGCAUCCAAAAAUAAACUGAAAUGAUGCCCUUGCUUGCAUAUCUGUCUAUUGAAGCUCUAUUAGUCCAAGAAAUUAAUUAUGACGAUAUAAUCGACGUUUUUGCUUGGAUUAAAGUCAGGAAAAAGAAAUGUUCAAAUUGAUAAAUAUUAAAAAAAUAAAUGUAUUAUUUAUCUGUCAUAUUUAUUAGUUAUUUUUAAAAAUUAUAUUUAAAAUAAAAUUAUUGUGUCAAAAUUAAUGAAAUUAAUUUUAUUAAAAAUCGCGGUGCAUCGGACAGGGCCUAGGGUGACAGUAAAUCUAAAUCCGCCACUGGUGAUAUUAGUAAAACUCAUGAACGAAGUACU